CAGAUGAUUGGUGAUAAGCAAUCUGUCAGCUGAAGAGGAAAAUUGGGGAGAGAGAAAAAACGUGUGUGUGUGUGUUGAUGUGCAGUUGCAAUUGCGGUCUAGCUCUAUCCCUUCAAUCGGAAUCAUAUCAAAU
ensembl:ncRNA F16F9.19 ncRNA